CCCCUCUGCUAAUGGGCAAAGAGACACCUUCUUGGUGGUAUUGUUCUUAAUUUGUUCAGGGGCAGAGCAGAUUGCCAUCCUUUGUUCAUCCUAGCUUAUCGCCUGGCAUGGUGGCCAAAGCUGUCUUAUGCCUGUGACUCAUUA